rnacentral:rRNA from 1 species
GACGAACGCUGGCGGCGUGCUUAACACAUGCAAGUCGAGCGGUAAGGCCCUUUCGGGGGUACACGAGCGGCGAACGGGUGAGUAACACGUGGGUGACCUGCCCUCAGCUCUGGGAUAAGCCUGGGAAACUGGGUCUAAUACCGGAUAUGACUCCAUGACGCAUGUUGUGGGGUGGAAAGCCUUGUGCGGCUGAGGAUGGGGCCCGCGGCCUAUCAGCUUGUUGGUGGGGUGANGGCCUACCAAGGCGACGACGGGUAGCCGGCCUGAGAGGGCGACCGGCCACACUGGGACUGAGACACGGCCCAGACUCCUACGGGAGGCAGCAGUGGGGAAUCCUGCGCAAUGGGCGAAAGCCUGACGCAGCGACGCCGCGUGAGGGAUGACGGCCUGG